UAACAUUUCAUCGGGAACUACACGAUAACAGGAUGAGGAACUGUCGAGCUGUUCCAGUGAAUAAAAACGUUCCUGUUCAGCAUUUAGUUUUAGCUUCUCUGAAGCCAAGCUGCUUGAUGGACAAAUAAGGUAACAUUUGUGGGG